rnacentral:rRNA from 1 species
AACGAACGCUGGCGGCAUGCCUAACACAUGCAAGUCGAACGAGACCUUCGGGUCUAGUGGCGCACGGGUGCGUAACGCGUGGGAACCUGCCCUUAGGUUCGGAAUAACUCCCCGAAAGGGGUGCUAAUACCGGAUAAUGUCUUCGGACCAAAGAUUUAUCGCCUUUGGAUGGGCCCGCGUUGGAUUAGCUAGUUGGUAGGGUAAAAGCCUACCAAGGCGACGAUCCAUAGCUGGUCUGAGAGGAUGAUCAGCCACACUGGGACUGAGACACGGCCCAGACUCCUACGGGAAGCAGCAGUGGGGAAUAUUGGACAAUGGGCGAAAGCCUGAUCCAGCAAUGCCGCGUGAGUGAUGAAGGCCUUAGGGUUGUAAAGCUCUUUUACCCGGGAUGAUAAUGACAGUACCGGGAGAAUAAGCUCCGGCUAACUCCAUG